rnacentral:rRNA from 1 species
UGGGGAAUAUUGCACAAUGGGGGAAACCCUGAUGCAGCGACGCCGCGUGAGCGAUGAAGGCUUUCGAGUCGUAAAGCUCUGUCCUAUGGGAAGAUAAUGACGGUACCAUAGAAGAAAGCCCCGGCUAAUUACGUGCCAGCAGCCGCGGUAAUACGUAAGGGGCGAGCGUUGUCCGGAAUUAUUGGGCGUAAAGAGUGCGUAGGCGGCAAAUUAAGUCAGAUGUGAAAACUAAGGGCUCAACCCAUAGAUUGCAUCUGAAACUGAUAUGCUUGAGUCAAGGAGAGGAAAGUGGAAUUCCUAGUGUAGCGGUGAAAUGCGUAGAUAUUAAAAAGAAUACCGGUGGCGAAGGCGACUUACUGGGCUCAUUCUGACGCUGAGGAACGAAAGCGUGGGUAGCAAACAGG